CGUACGUGACGCUCGCCGACCUCAGUCGACUCCAGGUCUUCCAGGAGCAGACGCUGCUCGUCGUCAAAGCGCCGGACGAAACCACGCUGAGCGUCCCGGCUCCGUCCGAGGACAGCAUCUGCGUCCAUCUGAAGGGGGCGGCGCCCAUCGUGGUGCUGACCAGUGACGUGAUUGGAGGAAAGAGCGUCCGCUUCAUCACGCUGGAGGAAAGUCGAGUGACAACGAGCGAUCUGCACACAGAGUCUCAGAUUCCACAGAGUGCCGUGCAGAGAGUAACCAGCUGACCACCAGGGGGCGCCAGGUGUCCUCCUGAUAUGAACGAGUGCAGGUGUCAGCUGGACGUGUUCCUGCUCCAUGUUCUGACUUCUACACAGAUUCGUUUUUAUUUUUCUAUUAUACUUUGAAUCCCUGACUGACAUCUGCUGAAGAUCCUUCAUCUUUGUGUUUUGUUUGAGUUGAGAAAACAUUUUAUAUCCAAAUCAAACCUGGAAUCAGUGAAAUUAACCUUUAUGAUAAUAAGAGAUCGACUGAGUUUUUGUUGUUAAAAAGUCUAAAUGAACUCGCUCUUAAAUACUGUAAAGGCUUUAACUGUUAACUCGAUGUUUCUGCUGUCGCACUUUAAAAUGAGCGUUUUAUUUAAAGGGAGCUGUUGUGUCAUCAUGUGGAGUUUGUGUAGUUUCUGUGUGUGUUGUCGUCAUUCUCCGUGACACAGAUAUCAACACUAAUAAAACUACAACGUGGAA